rnacentral:rRNA from 1 species
GAUGAACGCUAGCUACAGGCUUAACACAUGCAAGUCGAGGGGAAACGACAUCGAAAGCUUGCUUUUGAUGGGCGUCGACCGGCGCACGGGUGAGUAACGCGUAUCCAACCUGCCCACCACUUGGGGAUAACCUUGCGAAAGUAAGACUAAUACCCAAUGACGUCUCUAGAAGACAUCUGAAAGAGAUUAAAGAUUUAUCGGUGAUGGAUGGGGAUGCGUCUGAUUAGCUUGUUGGCGGGGUAACGGCCCACCAAGGCGACGAUCAGUAGGGGUUCUGAGAGGAAGGUCCCCCCACAUUGGAACUGAGACACGGUCCAAACUCCUACGGGAGGCAGCAGUGAGGAAUAUUGGUCAAUGGGCGAGAGCCUGACCAGCCAAGUAGCGUGCAGGAUGACGGCCCUAUGGGUUGUAAACUGCUUUUAUAAGGGAAUAAAGUGAGCCUCGUGAGGUUUUUUGCAUGUACCUUAUGAAUAAGGACCGGCGUAAUUCCGUG